UGUUGUUAACGAGUCGAACCAGGUGUACCUAAUCAGGUUCACUAAUUAGAUUCACCUGUUCAACUGUGACGACAUGCAGACCAACUGAAAAUCACACAAACACUUUGGACUUCACAGAGAAAGAGAAACUACCCAGUGAGUGACCGCACCGGACACUUGUUCUUUCAGCCCGAGGCCACUGUCUGCACCAUGAGCAAGUCUCCUUGUGAUGCCAAGACGCCCCAGUGUUUUGUCUUUGCAGGCCUAUGUGAACUGGUGUCUCUGUUGCUGUAGAUGAAAUAUGUUGAGCUGCUGCCUCUGGAAGAGAAAUCUGUGAUUGCCUUCGAUGACUGAUGCGCCACACCGGGAGCACAUUUAUAAAAACCAGAGAAGCUGGGACCCACGGUGGUGGUGCAAAUACGGGAGGUUUAAUGGAAUGGUGAAGAAUGAGCCACUUAGCUGCCCAGGGAGACGGGGUGUCACAACCCACCUGGAUCUCUUGAAGUGGUUGGAAGUGAAGUGUGGAGAGCAGCAGCAGGU